rnacentral:rRNA from 1 species
CCUACGGGGGGCAGCAGUGAGGAAUAUUGGUCAAUGGACGCAAGUCUGAACCAGCCAUGCCGCGUGCAGGAAGACGGCUCUAUGAGUUGUAAACUGCUUUUGUACGAGGGUAAACGCAGAUACGCGUAUCUUUCUGAACGUAUCGUACGAAUAAGGAUCGGCUAACUCCGUGCCAGCAGCCGCGGUAAUACGGAGGCUCCAAGCGUUAUCCGGAUUUAUUGGGUUUAAAGGGUGCGUAGGCGGGCGGAUAAGUUAGAGGUGAAAUCCCGAGGCUCAACUUCGGAAUUGCCUUUGAUACUGUUCGGCUAGAGAGUAGUUGCGGUAGGCGGAAUGUAUGGUGUAGCGGUGAAAUGCGUAGAGAUCAUACAGAACACCGAUUGCGAAGGCAGCUUACCAAGCUACGUCUGACGUUGAGGCACGAAAGCGUGGGGAGCAAACAGGAUUAGAUACCCCUGUAGUC